rnacentral:tRNA from 1 species
CCAAGUGGAUCAAGGCCGUG